GGAGCCGUGCCUGAAUAAAGGGCCACUUUGAUAGAGUGACUAAUGGGGGUUAAAAUCCCCCCGCCUCCU
rnacentral:tRNA from 2 species